GAUGAAUGCUGGCGGCGUGCCUAAUACAUGCAAGUCGAGCGAAUGGAUUGAGAGCUUGCUCUUAUGAAGUUAGCGGCGGACGGGUGAGUAACACGUGGGUAACCUGCCCAUAAGACUGGGAUAACUCCGGGAAACCGGGGCUGAUACCGGAUAACAUUUUGAACCGCAUGGUUCGAAAUUGAAAGGCGGCUUCGGCUGUCACUUAUGGAUGGACCCGCGUCGCAUGUAGCUAGUUGGUGAGGUAACGGCUCACCAAGGCAACGAUGCGUAGCCGCCCUGAGAGGGUGAUCGGCCACACUGGGACUGAGACACGGCCCAGACUCCUACGGGAGGCAGCAGUAGGGAAUCUUCCGCAAUGGACGAAAGUCUGACGGAGCAACGCCGCGUGAGUGAUGAAGGCUUUCGGGUCGUAAAACUCUGUUGUUAGGGAAGAACAAGUGCUAGUUGAAUAAGCUGGCACCUUGACGGUACCUAACCAGAAAGCCACGGCUAACUACGUGCCAGCAGCCGCCGUAA
rnacentral:rRNA from 1 species